CUGGCGGCGUGCCUAACACAUGCAAGUCGAACGGAGUCAAGAAGCUUGCUUUUGACUUAGUGGCGGACGGGUGAGUAACGCGUGAGUAACCUGCCUCUGAGAGGGGAAUAACGUUCUGAAAAGAACGCUAAUACCGCAUAACGUAUCGAAGCCGCAUGACUUUGAUACCAAAGAUUUUAUCGCUCGGAGAUGGACUCGCGUCCGAUUAGUUAGUUGGUGAGGUAACGGCUCACCAAGACCGCGAUCGGUAGCCGGACUGAGAGGUUGAUCGGCCACAUUGGGACUGAGACACGGCCCAGACUCCUACGGGAGGCAGCAGUGGGGAUAUUGCGCAAUGGGGGCAACCCUGACGCAAGCAACGCCGCGUGAAGGAUGAAGGUUUUCGGAUUGUAAACUUCUUUUAUCAGGGACGAAGCUUGACGGUACCUGAUGAAUAAGCUCCGGCUAACUACGUGCCAGCAGCUGC
rnacentral:rRNA from 1 species